AGACCGAUAGCGAACAAGUACCGUGAGGGAAAGAUGAAAAGCACUUUGGAAAGAGAGUUAAACAGUACGUGAAAUUGUUGAAAGGGAAACGAUUGAAGUCAGUCAUGUCUGUUGGUUUCAGCUUACUCUGUAAGUGUAUUACCUUCAGACGGGUCAACAUCAGUUUUGGUGCGGUGGAUAAGAACGGAUUGAAGGUGGCACCCUCGGGUGUGUUAUAGCUUUCCGUUGCAUACGCUGCCUGAGACUGAGGACUGCAGCUCGCGCUCACGCGCCGCCCCUCGGGGACGUUCGAGCUUAGGAUGUUGGCAUAAUGGCUUUAAACGACCCGUCUUGAAACACGGACCAAG
rnacentral:rRNA from 1 species